UGGAUAACAGGUUGAUAUUCCUGUACCACCUAUAAUCGUUUUAAUCGAUGGGGGGACGCAGUAGGAUAGGCGAAGCGUGCGAUUGGAUUGCACGUCUAAGCAGUAAGGCUGAGUAUUAGGCAAAUCCGGUACUCGUUAAGGCUGAGCUGUGAUGGGGAGAAGACAUUGUGUCUUCGAGUCGUUGAUUUCACACUGCCGAGAAAAGCCUCUAGAU
rnacentral:rRNA from 1 species